rnacentral:lncRNA from 1 species
AAUAAUGGAAAAUCUAAUUGAGAUGCAACUCUUCAUACUACCAAUAGAAAAAAAAGGAAGAUGCAUUUCUUCCCAACAAUAUGCACCAUUCAGCUA